UACGAAGGGGGCUAGCGUUGUUCGGAAUUACUGGGCGUAAAGCGCGCGCAGGCGGUCUUCCAAGUCAGUGGUGAAAGCCCGGAGCUCAACUCCGGAACUGCCAUUGAAACUGUGAAACUAGAGUACGAGAGAGGUGAGUGGAAUUCCCAGUGUAGAGGUGAAAUUCGUAGAUAUUGGGAAGAACACCGGUGGCGAAGGCGGCUCACUGGCUCGUUACUGACGCUCAGGCACGACAGCGUGGGGAUCAAACAGG
rnacentral:rRNA from 1 species